UUUCUUUUUUUUUUUUGCAUCCAUGCUGUUGAUUGCUAAAUGUAAUAGUCUGAUCGUGACGCUGAAUAAAUGUCUUUUUUUUUAAUGUGCUGUGUAAAGUUAGUCUACUCUGAAGCCAUCUUGGUAAAUUUCCCCAACAGUGUGAAGUUAGAAUUCCUUCAGGGUGAUGCCAGCUUCUAUUUGGAAUUUAUAUACAACCUGCUUGGGUGGAGAAGCCAUUGUCUUCAGAAACCUUGGUGUAGUUGAACUAAUAGUUACUGUUGUGACCUGAAGUUCACGAUUAAAAGGGAUUACCCAAGCAAAAUCAUGGAAUUAUUGGUUAUAAAGAUGAUUGUUGGCACAUCCUAUGCAAUAUAUCUAAAUUGAAUAAUGGUACCAGAUAAAAAUUAUAGAUGGGAAUGAAGCUUGUGUAUCAUCCAUUAUCAUGUGUAAUCAAUAAACGAUUUAAUUCUCUUGAAUGAAAUGACAACUGUAUGGAUUUGGGACUGGCAGAGAUUUGGACUUUUCCCUACCCACUGCCCCUGAUAAUGUUGAAUGCCUCUAUCGUAAUUCAAGUUCAAAGCUCUGCCAGGGAAUAGAAACUAGCUGCUGGCUAAUGCCGCUCCGUAAAUCCAGAUUUGAAGUGUUUGGGAGGCCUUUUUAAAAUGACCAAUAUCAGAAAUCAUUUCAAUGAACAUAAAGAUAGGCUUACAUUAAAGGAAAACUGCAGUUUGACUGGGUUCUGGUUGGGUGGGCCUUCAGAGGUUUUGUAAGUCAACUAUGCUAAUUUGAAGAUUAAAGCCAUAGCAACAGAAACUAAAUAUUCCUACAUAAUUUAAUGUUAACUGCAGUUUCCCUUUAUAUGGCACAAGAUGACACAACCUUCCUAAAAUGUUAAUUGUAUAGAAAAUGAUUUCUCAACCUUAACAGUUAAUAUCCAAUAAUGUGUUAUUUGUACAUAGAUUAUUUUGAGCCUUCAGUGCUCUCAAAUUUCAGUGCUAUUGUAUCUAGUAGCAUAGAGAUUUGUUUAUCAAUAGGACUGUAUAUUCCAUCCCAUGGGUGUGUUGGAAAUUUUGGGGAGGAGGGUGGAGGGAGGUGGGUGGGAGGUGGUGGUGGGUGGGAAAGCAUGGGUGAUAGUUCCGUGAUACUGGCUGAGUUUGCAAUAGCAGGUGGAACCCUAACUAUUGAGGGAGUUUGCAGAUACCUCAGGAUUCGUGACAAUGCCUUUAAAGAUCCAGGAGAGAUGUUCAGCUACUAGGAACUGCUAGCAAGUAUAGCGCGAAUGGCUCCGAGCUCAGACACUCUACAGCUGAGAGUAGACACUUGUGGUAUGUGGAGUACAGAUAAGCCAGGGGCAGGCCACGGCACGCUCCAUGAAAGCUAGGAGGGAGUGAAAUUUCAGUGAUCAUCGCAAGGAAGGAGGCAGACGAGAGUAAGGCACACCUGACUCUUAGGACUAGCAGUCAGAACCAGGAGGAAAGGUUUUAUUGCUAUGCUGGUAGGUAAGAACAGAUUUUACUUACAUCCAUAUAGUUACUUAAAGUCCAGUUUUCUGUUAAUUUUCCUUAAUAUAUUGAGCCAAAACUAGUCCAGUUAAGCUGAACUAGGUUUUUCUGGAGAUGAAUUGUCUUAAAUUCACACCCUACCAUUGGUGGCUCCCAGUUGAAGGAAGUGAGCACAUUAUUUCUACUGUGAAUAUAAAUUUUUGCCCUUUUAUUUAUCUUCCUUUGACCCAUUUCCUUAAAAUAAUGGCUCAAAGUAAUAGACUCUUCCCCAAAUGGUGGGAGGAUGGGUGGGCUAUUAAUGGGAGGUAUGGGGGGUUUAGCUUGAGCUGGGACUUGGUCUUAGAGCUAGUUCUAAAGGUUGUUUACUUUUCUAGGGGAGGAGUCUGCUACUAGUCUUAUCAGCUCUUAAAAACAGAAACUCAUCUGUCCAAGUUCAUGGCAGAAAGGAACGUCCUUGUGAAGACCUUUAUCUGAGCCACUGUACGUCAGUAUCACUGCCAUGCAGUUAACAUGAGUUGUUCUGCAGCUCAAAUUCCAUUUUGUAAAUGGGUUUUUUUUUUUUUUUUUUUAAAUAAACUAUUUAACUUAA